GAAUUCGAUUAACGCGAAGAACCUUACCUGGGCUAGACAACGGCGGACCGUCCUAGAAAUAGGAUUUUCCCUUCGGGGACCGCCGGUUCAGGUGCUGCAUGGCUGUCGUCAGCUCGUGCCGUGAGGUGUUGGGUUAAGUCCCGCAACGAGCGCAACCCUCGUCCUUAGUUGCCACCAUUCAGUUGGGCACUCUAAGGAGACUGCCGGCGUUAAGCCGGAGGAAGGUGGGGACGACGUCAAGUCAUCAUGGCCCUUAUGUCCAGGGCCACACACGUGCUACAAUGGGCGGUACAAAGGGUCGCAAACCCGCGAGGGGGAGCCAAUCCCAAAAAGCCGCUCUCAGUUCGGAUUGGAGUCUGCAACUCGACUCCAUGAAGUUGGAAUCGCUAGUAAUCGCGGAUCAGCACGCCGCGGUGAAUACGUUCCCGGGCCUUGUCACACCGAAUCACUA
rnacentral:rRNA from 1 species